rnacentral:misc_RNA from 1 species
AAGUCGUAACAAGGUUUCCGUAGGUGAACCUGCGGAAGGAUCAUUAAAGAAUUCGGCUUCGCGCCAAGUUCACCCUUUGUAUCCGAAACAUUUGCUUGGCAGGCCCCUAUUUCUCGGCCGCCAGGGUUAUAAACCCCUGAAAUCUCUGCUGUCUGAGUACUAUAACAAUAGUUAAAA